GAUGAACGCUGGCGGCGUGCCUAAUACAUGCAAGUCGAGCGAACGGACGAGGAGCUUGCUGGUCUGAUGUUAGCGGCGGACGGGUGAGUCACGCGUGGAUCCCCUCCCUAUCAGACUGAGAUCACUUCGGGAAACCGGAGAUAAUACCGGAUAAUAUUUUGAACCGCAUGGGUCAUAGGUGAAAGACGGUCUUGCUGUCACUUAUAGAUGGAUACGCGCUGCAUUAGCUGGUUGGUAAGGUAACGGCUUUCCAAGGGAACGAUGCAUGUCCGAGCGGACAGGGUGAUAGGCCACACUGGAACUGAGACGCGGUCCAGACUCCUACGGGAGGCAGCAGUAGGGUAUCUUCCGCAAUGGGCGAGAGCAUGACGGAGCAACGCCGCGUGUGUGAUGACGGUCUUCGGAGCGUAAAGCCCUGUUACUAGGUAUGAACCUAUGUGUAAGGAAACGUGGACAGCGUGACGGUAACUAAUCAGAAAGCCACGGCUAACUACGUG
rnacentral:rRNA from 1 species